rnacentral:rRNA from 1 species
UGAUGAGGAUGAGUCGUUAGUAGUCGUAGAACAAUGUUAAGGAUGAGUCCGUUGAAACCUCGUCGCCGGCGGCUGCGGCACAAGCACUUUUACACGUUCUUUCGGUAGGCUAUGCGGCACCACCUGCGGAAGCGCUGGCUCGGCAAGUUCCCGUUGGGGCGGCGCCACACGGAGGAGCUGCUGCUGUUGCGGCGCCUGCUCGCCACCUACGUCAGGCAGCGGUGGCUCAAGUUGGAGAGGCUCUGGCGGAAGGAGCAGGCGCUGAACAGGGCCGGGCGGUCGCGGCGCGGCGAGAAGGUGGAAGCUACCAAGUGGGGGCAGUGGCUCCAUUGGUGUAUCGGGAGGCAGGUAGAGGAGGGGUUUAGGAGCCUAGGGGAAAGAUGAUGGUCGUAGCUGGCUAGACUUGUUGGGCAGCUGACCGGACGGAGCUGGGGCUCGUGCGCAGCAGCGAAAGUCCAGCUGGACACACCCGUGCGCUGCAACCGGAGGCGGGUGAAGGAGAAGUGCCGGCAAGACGGCCUCGUACCGUACUAGCUCAAGUACUGGUUUAGGCCGUAGGACUGACGCUUCUUUCAAGGACGCGGUCCCCCGCGUCCGCUCCGGGUGCCCUUCGACAAAUAACUCGACUUAAAGGGGUACUAACUAAAGGACCUGACGUUGCUCUACGGCAGCUAAGGUCUCUGGGAUUUGCCGCGUGGUCACCAGUCACAAGUGUUUAGCCGCCGGCUGCCACUAGAGUAACACCUUGAAAGAAGUCGUUUUCUCCAACGGCUGUAGGAAGGAUUGUAGCUUCUUUAAUUCUUCAACAGUACACCACCAUAGUACCAAUGUCCUGGCCGUGGACGACCUAGACCAAUAUUGAAGAAGUGUGCAAAUAAGACGGGCUUUAAACCCUACCUACUCCUGGGACAAUGACCGUCAUAUGUAACACAUAACCCUGGGAAAACCCCAUCUUUCGAACCCUUCGUUUUUGACUGCCGUAAAGUUCGUAGAGGUUCCCCACCUUGCGAUAUGGACCUUGACCUACUGCGUUUAGCCGCUCACUUUUAGGUUCCUCUUUGGCAAUGACAGUACAGGCCCUGUGAGGACCACAUUAUACGUACGACGAACUUUUGAAAGUCCGGAGGAAACCAAAUCUCCUUAAAGUAUCCUUAAGAUCUCCUAUCCUAAGAAUAUCCUAAAAAAAGAAAUCUCGGGAAACCAAGUAUCCUUACCUAAGGAUAAGGAUAUAUCCUAACCAAGGAUAGGAGGUGUAAAGUAUCCUUUUAUUUUUUCUCGGAUCUGAGUCACCUUUUUAAGGAAACCACAGUUGGUUUACUGUAGAACAAAGAAUAAGGAUGAGUAUCCUAAACUCUAUGUACAGUAGAGUAAAGGAUGUUCUAAGGAUAAGGAUAUUAUUAGGAUAGGAUACUUGGUUUUUUCCGGAGUCACCAAAAAACUCCCAGUGAUGCGGCCGGCACAUACUAGACUUGGAUUUUGUUACCUACGAAUUUUAUAUGUAACUGUAUUAACGUCAAUACCGUCUAUCUAUAAUACACCUUUAGCUGAGACAGCACGAUGUAGAUAUAGAUAUAUAUAUAUAUAUAUAUAUAUUGAUGAUAAUUUCCCUCCACUAUAAGAAUAAAAGC